CAUNGCUCCUUCAUCGUUUUGAUGCCUAGUUUUCAGAUAUACCUGCCAGCCUGAGUUUUUGAAGCAACAAGUUCCAUAAAGAUGAGUAAGAAGAAACCACAGGUGUUCCUUGAUGUUUCUAUUGAUGGUGACCCAGUUGAAAGAAUGGCUUUUGAGCUUUUCACCGAUGUUGCUCCAAAAACUGCAGAGAACUUUCGUGCACUGUGUACAGGGGAGAAAGGAGUCAGCUCUAAGACGGGAAGACCAUUGCAUUAUAAAGGAACCUUUUUCCAUCAUAUUGUCAAGGGAUCUGUGGCUCAGGCUGGUGACUUGCUGAGACAAGAUGGGAACUAUGGGGAAAGCAUCUAUGGGGGAAAGUUUCCAGGUUGGGGCUGACUUUGAUCUAAUUCUACGCUGCUUGGGAGCUUCAAUUCAUUGGUAUUGGACAUUGUUCCUCUCAGAUAAUGAACAAUCCCAGGGAAAUCUAUUAUAACUUUACUGCAGAACCGAGGUAAUUGGUUAUCAGAUCAGAACAGUAGCUGUAUGGUAGAAUUUUGUGAUUAGUCAUGAUUACCUAGAAAAACUGUCACGAGGG